GACGAACGCUGGCGGCGUGCUUAACACAUGCAAGUCGUACGGUAAGGCCCUUUCGGGGGUACACGAGUGGCGAACGGGUGAGUAACACGUGAGUAACCUGCCCACAACUUUGGGAUAACGCUAGGAAACUGGUGCUAAUACUGGAUAUGUGCUCCUGCUGCAUGGUGGGGGUUGGAAAGCUCCGGCGGUUGUGGAUGGACUCGCGGCCUAUCAGCUUGUUGGUGGGGUAGUGGCCUACCAAGGCGGCGACGGGUAGCCGGCCUGAGAGGGUGACCGGCCACAUUGGGACUGAGAUACGGCCCAGACUCCUACGGGAGGCAGCAGUGGGGAAUAUUGCACAAUGGGCGCAAGCCUGAUGCAGCAACGCCGCGGGCGGGAUGACGGCCUUCGGGUUGUAAACCGCUUUUAGCAGGGACGAAGCUUUUUGUGACGGUACCUGCAGAAGAAGCACCGGCUAACUACGUG
rnacentral:rRNA from 1 species